rnacentral:rRNA from 1 species
CACGUAGGGCGCAAGCGUUGUCCGGAAUUAUUGGGCGUAAAGAGCUCGUAGGCGGUCUGUUGCGUCCGCUGUGAAAACUCGGGGCUCAACCCUGGGCGUGCAGUGGAUACGGGCAGGCUGGAGGCAGGCAGGGGAGAACGGAAUUCCCGGUGUAGCGGUGAAAUGCGCAGAUAUCGGGAGGAACACCGGUGGCGAAGGCGGUUCUCUGGGCCUGUUCUGACGCUGAGGAGCGGAAGCGUGGGGAGCGAACAGGAUUAGAAACC